CAAUAGCGUAUAUUAAAGUUGUUGCAGUUAAAAAGCUCGUAGUUGGAUUUCUGAUCGAGACAUCAGGUCGGGUCCGAGAGGAUCAUGUACUUUGAUUUUGUUUUGAUCAUCCUUGGGGAGAGCAUUUCUGGCAUUCAGUUGUCGGGAUUGGGAUCCUCAUCGUUUACUGUGAAAAAAUUAGAGUGUUCAAAGCAGGCCUCGGCCUCUGAAUACAUUAGCAUGGAAUAAUAAGAUAGGACUUUGGUGGUCUAUUUUGUUGGUUUGCACGCCAAAGUAAUGAUUAAUAGGGAUAGUUAGGGGUAUUCGUAUUCAAUUGUCAGAGGUGAAAUUCUUGGAUUUAUGGAAGACGAACUACUGCGAAAGCAUUUACCAAGGAUGUUUUCAUUAA
rnacentral:rRNA from 1 species